UUUCCAGCUCUGUUUAGAUCACUUCUUGUUUGAGUUAAUUUCGGGUUCAUUUAGCUCAUUGGUGAAUAUUUUCACGGCGAAUUCGGAGGCUUUGUGUAUGGUCUUCAUGAAUAAUUUAUAGUUCUGCCCCAUUGACGACUGAGAAAUAACACAUUCUGAGUGGAUUCAAAGGGUGUACUGUCAAGAUGUCCUGCAGUGUGUUGACAAGGUUAAGGCUUCCAUAACCUCGGUGUUUGGCAAGAUCCUAAAAAACGAUUCAACCAGGGUCUAUCUUGGAAGCUGCUCAUGAUCUUCCCGAUGAAACUCAGGAGUGCAUUGGCCCCGACAACAUAAAAGGUCUCGAUGAGGUCCAUGACUUGGCGGCCUGUCUUGUUAUCCUGCAUAAACAAGAUAGAGCAAUAGACAACAGCCAAGCAGACAACAUCACAAGACUGUGGGCUGCUUUGUAAGAAUAUGACAAAAGACCCACUGUAUUUACACCACCUUUCAUCAGUUCCUCUCCAAGAAGAAGGUUUAAGGCCUCGAAGUCAACUGUUGCUCCUGGAGUCAAAGCUACCUGCCACUGCUUCCUCAGUCAAAACACUGGGCCUGCCCAGCGACCAGAUAUUAAUCGGUACAUGGAGACUAUUACCAAUAAACUUUGUGCUGUCUACACUGGAAAUGUGCUUGAAAAAGGAGUUAGAGUGUUGAGGUGGCCCCUUAUCCUGAGGACCCACCAAAACAUCAAAACCCUGUUAGUUCAGUGCUCCAAACACGGAGCACUGAACGGAAAUUCAGUUGAUUGACAUAAAUCAGUCUACUCUAACGCAAUGGCCCUCCACCAAUGGGAUUACAUUGACCAGGACCAGAGGACCAGCAGGACCAGAGUUGCUUCUGAAUCAUUGCCCUAAAAACAGUUUUUGAAUGCCCAGGCAUAAUUUGCUACUCUGUAUAGUUAAUAAUUUAGGAUAACCUAAAGUACAUAAUUAUAUAAUUAUAUUACUUAACAAAACUGUUCAGAGUAAUUCACAUUUGUAUCAAUCUUGUACCGAUGAAUAACAUUGUACAUGUAAAAAUUACCUACAAUAAUAUUAUAAAAUGAUUUAUGGUACCAUUUGAGUUGUAUUUUAAUUAUGUUUCUCACCUUUUAAAGGUCACUGUUCCUGGGUUGAUGGUUUGCAUAUGCACUGAAGUAGGUUUAUGCAUGAAGCAACCAGUGUGUUUUGAAUUGUCCCUGUAAAGUACAAGAUAAUACUUCGCUCUCUUUGAAUGCCAAGGGAAGUAUAUUCUAAAAAUCAAUGCACUCUCUGAUCCAUCACUGGCUGUUUCAUUGUGUAUUCUUGUGUAUGAACAAUAUGCCAUGCACAAACUUGUGAUAAACUUAUUCUCCUCAUCCGAACCACUGGUGAAGUCAUAGG